rnacentral:rRNA from 2 species
GGAGACUAUAAUGCAGUCGAGCGAAUGAUGAGGAGCUUGCUCCUCUGAUUUAGCGGCGGACGGGUGAGUAACACGUGGGUAAUCUGCCUGUAAGACGGGGAUAACUCCGGGAAACCGGGGCUAAUACCGGAUAAUAAGAGAAGAAGCAUUUCUUCUUUUUGAAAGUCGGUUUCGGCUGACACUUACAGAUGAGCCCGCGGCGCAUUAGCUAGUUGGUGAGGUAACGGCUCACCAAGGCGACGAUGCGUAGCCGACCUGAGAGGGUGAUCGGCCACACUGGGACUGAGACACGGCCCAGACUCCUACGGGAGGCAGCAGUAGGGAAUCUUCGGCAAUGGGCGAAAGCCUGACCGAGCAACGCCGCGUGAGCGAUGAAGGCCUUCGGGUCGUAAAGCUCUGUUGUUAGAGAAGAACAAGUACGAGAGUAACUGCUCGUACCUUGACGGUACCUAACCAGAAAGCCACGGCUAACUACGUGCCAGCAGCCGCGGUAAUACGUAGGUGGCAAGCGUUAUCCGGAAUUAUUGGGCGUAAAGCGCGCGCAGGCGGUCUCUUAAGUCUGAUGUGAAAGCCCACGGCUCAACCGUGGAGGGUCAUUGGAAACUGGGAGACUUGAGUGCAGGAGAGAAAAGUGGAAUUCCACGUGUAGCGGUGAAAUGCGUAGAGAUGUGGAGGAACACCAGUGGCGAAGGCGGCUUUUUGGCCUGUAACUGACGCUGAGGCGCGAAAGCGUGGGGAGCAAACAGGAUUAGAUACCCUGGUAGUCCACGCCGUAAACGAUGAGUGCUAGGUGUUGGGGGGUUCCACCCUCAGUGCUGAAGUUAACACAUUAAGCACUCCGCCUGGGGAGUACGACCGCAAGGUUGAAACUCAAAGGAAUUGACGGGGGCCCGCACAAGCAGUGGAGCAUGUGGUUUAAUUCGAAGCAACGCGAAGAACCUUACCAGGUCUUGACAUCCUUUGACCACUCUAGAGAUAGAGCUUUCCCCUUCGGGGACAAAGUGACAGUGGUGCAUGGAUGUCGUCAGCUCGUGUCGUGAGAUGUUGGGUUUAAGUC